CUCUCUCAGAGAAUUCCUCUUCCUCGAAGGACCAAGAUGGCAGCAGUGACUCUGCUAGCUUUGGCAUAUACCCAGGUGGGUUUGGGCAUUAGCACUCUGCUGAUGUACGUCCCAACUCCUUUGGCUGCCACUCACCAGUCGGGCUCCUUGGCUCUGCUCAGUGCUGCCCUUUGGCUCAUGAACGAACUCCGCAGAGUCCCAAAAUAAUUCUAAGAGGAUCAGGCUUCAUAGGACUGAAACUGUGCUUUUGAGAGCUCAUCAGAGAGCACAAGACCUUUUCUAAGAGAAUGACCUUGGCCUAUCAAGUGGUUUCCAAAUUGGCCAAGUUUUUAAAAAUUCUUUGCCUGUUUUUGAGACAGUCACAGGAUCAAGAAUGUCAUCAAGUAUGGUUACACUGAAAGUUCCCUUUGAAAUCUGUCAUGUUGAAAAUCAGGUUUAAUGUAGGGAAAAAAAAAUAUCUGCCAUUUGCUGCUUCCUCAGGUUUCUAAUGUUGGCAUGCUCUUGGUUCUACAUACAUCAUCUCUGUCUCUUCACCUCCUGAGUCCUGAAUUCUGCCUAAGCGGAAACCUUACCUUCACUUUCAUCAGGUGAAGAUUCAAAGGGAAGAAUUGGCACACCCUAAAGCAGCCACGUAACCUUCAACAAGAAAGAGCUAGUGUCUUCCAAGUAUCCUGAUUUUCAAAAAUAGGUAAAGGGUAGGUUGUGACAAGCUUGAUGUGUGUGCAGCAGAAUGGUUUAUAGGUACUUAGAAAAGGAGGUAAUCACUAGUAACCCACUUGGACUCAUCAGGCAAUCACCUACAUAGUGCUGUUACAUUGCUAGGUCGGAUGAAUGGAAUAGAUAAUAUAAAUUUUUCUAAUGGAUGAAUAAAAUGUGGCCUUGAGGUGGCCAUAGACAUUUAAACAAAUUGUUGAUUAAUGAAUUUAGUGUGAUUUUAGUCUCUUGAUAUUUCACAGAGCUCUGUCUCAGUCAACUUAAUUUUUAAAUCAGUGUUUGGAUGAAGGCAUCAGAUCAGAUUUGAGGAUGGAGCAGCCCAACAUUGCUAAUAGAUGACAGUCACAGCUCCAAACUGUUCCAGAGUAACAUGAUCAAGAUGAAAUUAAACAGGUUAUAAAUAUAACAUCUUCAUUUAAAUUAGAUAGGUUAUUUUAGUUUGGGGUGGAGAAACCUGGCUUCCUAUCAUUUCAUAUAAAAAAAGACAGGGAUUUUAGUUGGCCGCAGGCUCAACACAAACCAACAAAAUGAUGAUGACGGCAAUCAAAAUUAGUGGUGUUUCAGAUUUUAUCAAUACAAAUUUCACAGCCAUAGAAUACCUCGGUGCAAGUGCUGCAUUUCACUCCAGGUACCAAAUUUAAGGAGGACCUUUACCACUAAGUAUCCAAAGGAAGGGACAAGGAUGGUGAGGAGUCCAGAACCCAUAUCCCAAAAAAUACUUGAAGGAACUGGGGGUAUUUAGCUGGAGAACAUUUGGAGAGAGCAAGAUUCCUUUCUCAACAGGUUGAAGACCUCAUGCAGGAGAAAUGAGCUGCUUUUGUGCUGCAAAGCUGGAGCGAUGGUCCAAAGUUGCAAAAAGCUAGUUUUUAGUUUUGCAACAGGCAAGAGUAAGUUGGACCAAAUCAGAUGCCCACUAGGGUCAGUCUGGUUGAGACGGUGGCAAAGUAGUGCCCCAGCUAACAGGCUGAACCACUGCUGAGCUCUGGCAUAUUGCUGCUCUGCACAUCCAGGGUUGUCAGAUCUGAUUUUUUUUUUAAAGAAGCCAAACACCUAGAUUUUUAUGGGAAAGCUCUCAAUUAAGUGCUGGCAACUAAUUUCAAAUUUGGGGCAUAUUACGCAGGUGGUAACAUGUUUGGGAGCCAAAAAUGACCUAAGGCUUGCCUGCUUACAGUCUCUGGACCACGUGAUCUCAGUUCCCUUUCAACUCCAGUAUUCUGUGAGUUUCAGUGUGACUUAGAAUGCACCAUUCUCAAGUGGUUCCUGGCAAAACAGAAGUAGGCACUUUGUCCUUGAAUUUUAGAAAGUCUCAGAGCCUGGGGCUUAUGCUAUAAUUAGAAGUGGUUCCCAACUUUAGAUCCUUAAAAAUCCUAAGCCCAAGCCUCACCCAAGACCAAUUAAAUUACAGUAUCUGGAAGCAGUAAUAGGCCUAUUUCUAAGUUCCCCUGGUGACUCCAAUGUGCAGGCAAGUUCAUUGGCCUAAGCCCUCAUAGCCUAGUUACUUUAGAAGUUUUGACUACUUAUUCUCAUUCCCUCUGAAUUUCCACCCCACCCUAUCUCAUUUAACCUGCUGUGUUGUAGCAUGUUAAUGGGAUAUACCUCUUCAGAAUUCUUUUAAAAUGGGAACUGUAGUCCCUGGGGUAGGUUCCCAUACUAUCUCCUGAUCCCCAAAGGUUGUCCUUAGUUAAAUAACAGCAGAGGGCAGUGUGGUCCAACCCAAAAAACCAUAUGCUAAUGCCUUUCCGGUUCCCUUCAACAAAGCAAUGAAUAAGUUCAAGUUUCAGAUGUUUUACUUCAUUUUUCUUUUAUUAAAGAUGAAUAUUUGGAAAAAA